UACAGAGGUCUCAAGCGUUGUUCGGAUUCAUUGGGCGUAAAGGGUGCGUAGGCGGCGCGGUAAGUCGGAUGUGAAAUCUCGGAGCUUAACUUCGAAACUGCAUUCGAUACUGCCGUGCUUGAGGACUGGAGAGGAGACUGGAAUUUACGGUGUAGCGGUGAAAUGCGUAGAUAAUCGUAAGGAAGACCGAGUGGCGAAGGCGGGUCUCUGGACAGUUCUGA
rnacentral:rRNA from 1 species